rnacentral:rRNA from 1 species
CCCUUAGAAGUUCUGGGCUACACGCGUGUUACACUGAUAUGUUCAGCAAGUUAAAAUAUUCCUUGCCCGACGGGGCUGGGUAAUCUUUUAAAAGCAUGUCGUGAUGGGGAUAGAGCAUUGUAAUUAUUGCUCUUGAACGAGGAAUUCCUAGUAAGUGCAAGUCAUUAACUUGCGCUGAUUACGUCCCUGCCCUUUGUACACACCGCCCGUCGCACCUACCGAUUGAAUGUUUCGGUGAAGAUUCCGGACCGAGCGAUGAUCGCUUUACGGCGGUCGCCAUUUGGGAAGUUAUCUAAACCUCAACAUUUAGAGGAAGGUGAAGUCGUAACA